UACGAAGGGGGCUAGCGUUGCUUGGAAUCACUGGGCGUAAAGCGCACGUAGGCGGACUCUUAAGUCAGAGGUGAAAUCCUGGAGCUCAACUCCAGAACUGCCUUUGAUACUGAGAGCCUUGAGUUCGGGAGAGGUGAGUGGAACUGCGAGUGUAGAGGUGAAAUUCGUAGAUAUUCGCAAGAACACCAGUGGCGAAGGCGGCUCACUGGCCCGAUACUGACGCUGAGGUGCGAAAGCGUGGGGAGCAAACAGG
rnacentral:rRNA from 1 species